rnacentral:rRNA from 1 species
ACGAACGCUGGCGGCAGGCCUAACACAUGCAAGUCGAACGCUCCAGCAAUGGAGAGUGGCAGACGGGUGAGUAACGCGUGGGAACCUUCCCUAUGGUUCGGAAUAGCUCAGGGAAACUUGAGGUAAUACCGGAUAAGCCCUUCGGGGAAGAUUAUCGCCAUUGGAUGGGCCCGCGUAGGAUUAGCUAGUUGGUGAGGUAACGGCUCACCAAGGCGACGAUCCUUAGCUGGUCUGAGAGGAUGAUCAGCCACACUGGGACUGAGACACGGCCCAGACUCCUACGGGAGGCAGCAGUGGGGAAUAUUGGACAAUGGGCGCAAGCCUGAUCCAGCCAUGCCGCGU